rnacentral:rRNA from 1 species
UACGUAGGGAGCAAGCGUUGUCCGGAUUUACUGGGCGUAAAGGGCGCGUAGGCGGCCAAUUAAGUCAGCUGUGAAAUCUCCGAGCUUAACUCGGAACUGUCAGCUGAUACUGAUCUGCUAGAGUGCGGAAGGGGCAAUCGGAAUUCUUGGUGUAGCGGUGAAAUGCGUAGAUAUCAAGAGGAACACCUGAGGUGAAGACGGGUUGCUGGGCCGACACUGACGCUGAGUGCGCGAAAGCCAGGGGAGCAAACGGG